rnacentral:rRNA from 13 species
AAAUUGAAGAGUUUGAUCAUGGCUCAGAUUGAACGCUGGCGGCAGGCCUAACACAUGCAAGUCGAACGGUAACAGGAAGCAGCUUGCUGCUUCGCUGACGAGUGGCGGACGGGUGAGUAAUGUCUGGGAAACUGCCU